rnacentral:tRNA from 1 species
GGAGAGGUCGCAUAGUGGACUAGUGUGCUUGUUUCGAAAACAAGUGAGGCCGCAAGGCUUCCGUGGGUUCGAAUCCCACCCUCUCCGCCA